UACGUAGGGGGCAAGCGUUGUCCGGAAUCAUUGGGCGUAAAGAGCGUGUAGGUGGCUCGGGUAAGUCCGCUGUGAAAGUCCAGGGCUCAACCCUGGAAAGCCGGUGGAAACUGUCGAGCUAGAGUCCGGAAGAGGCGAGUGGAAUUCCUGGUGUAGCGGUGAAAUGCGCAGAUAUCAGGAGGAACACCAAUGGCGAAGGCAGCUCGCUGGGACGUGACUGACGCUGAGACGCGAAAGCGUGGGGAGCAAACAGGAUUGAGAAACCC
rnacentral:rRNA from 1 species